UCUCCGUAGGUGAACCUGCGGAGGGAUCAUUACAGAGUUCAUGCCCUAACGGGUAGAUCUCCCACCCUAUGUUAUCAUCACUUUGUUGCUUUGGCGGACCGUCAGGCCUCGGCUUGGCUACCGGCUCUCGCUGGUAAGCGCCCGCCAGAGAACCCCAAACCCUGAAUAUCAGUGUCGUCUGAGUACUAUAUAAUAGUUAAAACUUUCAACAACGGAUCUCUUGGUUCUG
rnacentral:misc_RNA from 1 species